rnacentral:lncRNA from 1 species
AUCAGAUCGAAGACACAAUACCAAAUAGAGAAUUUAUCGUUUACUUAAAGAGAAUGGCAUAUUUUCAUAAUAGAAUUCUCCUUGUAUAUCUCAGCCCAACGGGAUAUCUGUGAGGGGCAAUGGUACUGUAUGAGAUAUGGUUCGAUCCAUCAUGAAUAUCACUAAUUUAAUUAUUAUUUCUUUACAAACAAGAUUUAAUUUUUGAAAUUUAAAUUUCACACCGUAUGAGAUAUGAUAUGGUGGACGGAUUAGAA